UACGUAGGGUGCAAGCGUUGUCCGGAAUUAUUGGGCGUAAAGAGCUCGUAGGCGGUUUGUUGCGUCGGCUGUGAAAUCCCGAGGCUCAACCUCGGGUCUGCAGUCGAUACGAGCAAACUAGAGUGUUGCAGGGGAGACUGGAAUUCCUGGUGUAGCGGUGAAAUGCGCAGAUAUCAGGAGGAACACCGGUGGCGAAGGCGCCACUCUGGGCCGAAACUGACGCUGAGGAGCGAAAGCAUGGGUAGCAAACAGG
rnacentral:rRNA from 1 species